AUUGAACGCUGGCGGGAUGCUUUACACAUGCAAGUCGAACGGCAGCGCGGACUUCGGGCUGGCGGCGCGUGGCGAACGGGCGAGUAAUGUAUCGGAACGUGCCCAGUAUCGGGGGAUAACUACGCGAAAGCGUAGCUAAUACCGCAUACGCCCUACGGGGGAAAGCAGGGGAUCGUUAGACCUUGCACUAUUGGAGCGGCCGGUAUCGGAUUAGCUAGUUGGUGAGGUAACGGCUCACCAAGGCGACGAUCCGUAGCCGGUCUGAGAGGACGACCAGCCACACUGGAACUGAGACACGGCCCAGACUCCUACGGGAGGCAGCAGUGGGGAAUUUUGGGCAAUGGGCGAAAGCCUGACGCAGCCAUCCCGCGUGAGUGAUGAAGGCCUUCGGGUUGUAAAGCACUUUUAUCAGGAAAGAAACGUUGCGGACGAAUACCCCGAGGAACUGACGGUACCUGAAGAAUAAGCACCGGCUAACUACGUG
rnacentral:rRNA from 1 species